rnacentral:rRNA from 1 species
UCAAGCUACUCAAAUAAAGCAUAUGGUGGAUGCCUUGGCAUAAUGUGCCGAAGAAGGACGUAAUAAGCCGCGAUAGUCGUCGGUGAGGAGCUAAUAUCCUUUGACCCGGCGGUGUCCGAAUGGGGUAACCCCGGUUCGUGUAAACGGACUGGACCGAGAGAUUUAUCUUUCGGUCGGUAACCCGGAGAACUGAAACAUC